GUGACCUCUACGGAACAAUAGU
rnacentral:miRNA from 1 species